UACGGAGGGGGCUAGCGUUGUUCGGAAUUACUGGGCGUAAAGCGCACGUAGGCGGCUUUGUAAGUUAGAGGUGAAAGCCCAGGUCUUAACCCUGGAAUUGCCUUUAAGACUGCAUCGCUAGAAUCGUGGAGAGGUGAGUGGAAUUCCGAGUGUAGAGGUGAAAUUCGUAGAUAUUCGCAAGAACACCAGUGGCGAAGGCGGCUCACUGGCCCGGUACUGACGCUGAGGUGCGAAAGCGUGGGGAGCAAACAGG
rnacentral:rRNA from 1 species